rnacentral:lncRNA from 10 species
GCAGAGGCUACAGCCGAGUGAUAAUUAGAAACCAAGCAACCUUUCUGAAAGAAGUACAAGAUGGAACAUUAUUAGACACCCACGCCAACAUGGAAGAGCUUUUUUUUCCAGUACCUUUCCCUUUGGUUUCAACUAACAACUUCCUGGUAAUAUGAUCUCUUGGUUUGUUUCUUUCCUCCUACCGCUUGGUUUCUAGAGUGACUACGUUGUAGUCAUCUAUUAAAAAUGUGGUUGCCAAGUAAUAGGCAUCCUAACUUCAGAUUGUUAUUUGACAUGGAAGAAAUAUAAAAUCUUUUGAUGUUUAAAUAAAAUUUUAAUCAAAAUUAUAUGUAGAAUUAAAAGAAAUUUAAAAGCACAGUUAAUCCACAUUUUUAAGAAUGAGAGAGUAGCUUAUAUCAAAUCAGCUCUUCCUUUAUUAACAUCGAUGAAACCUGGACAAAUAGUAAAAUGCAGCGGUUUGAAGGCAUUAGACAAUAAUCAAGGGAGAAAGGAGUUAGGAGAUAAAUAUCCUGGAAAGAAAGGAAAUGCAAUGAAACAAAUUAAUGUUAUCUGUUGCUCCUCCUCUUGAGACGUUGCGCUAUUGCUAAACUGUGCAGGGUUAGAAGGCAAACAGAAAGAUGCACAGAAAGAUUAAAAAGCCUAGCAAAGUUUUGUUCAUGUCACGGUGCUAGGAGAUAAAAAUUGGAGUUCAAAGCCCAACCAAAGAUGAGAGGCAGUGGUAAACAUUCUGCUAUUGAGUUGAGACCCAUAAAGAACUGCACACUGAGAGUAAAGGCAGACUGGAAGUAGACAAGUCCUCACAAAACCAGAAACUCAGCCUCAAUUUCUCCCAAUUCCCCUUUGAACCAAGGUUACAUACUUCUACUCUAAUUACUUCCAAGAAGAAAAAUAAAUCUUUUGUGCAAGAAGAUAUAUCACCAGAGCCACUAGAGUUUUUCGUAGGUAAUAGGAAUUAUUCAAUUGAAAAUAACUGAGCAUGCCUGGACAUAGGACCAAACAAUUGAAUAUCAAGAGAUAAAGAGCAAAUAGUAGAAAUGGAUCCACAGGUAUCUCAGAUAUUGGAGUUAUCAGAAAGAGAUUUCAACUCUACUGUCAUCAGUAUUUUUGAGACAAUUGAUGACAAGAGUGUAAGGGUAUAUAAAAUAAGAAAGAGCUAACAUUUGUGAUUGGAUUUCUAGAAGUAAAGGAGCAAGAAAAUGGGACAGGAGCAAUAUUUGAAGAGAUAACAACUGAGAAUUUCCAAAGUCCAAUGAAACAUAUCAGCCCACACAUUCAAAAAGCUCUAAGAAACUCAACAAAGGUUAAAUACAAAGAAAACUACUCCAGUCACAAGUGUGCCGGUUUGGACAAAAAAUUCUAUGGUCAUCCUAACUGAAGAUCAGGAUGGCUGAUUAAAUAAUAAAAAGCAUAUAUGUUCUCAUCUGGUGUGGACUGCAAACGUGUUUGGAUGGCAAAGAUAAAUCUUGCCAAGUUUCACCCAUGUGCAACUAAGCUCAUCGACUGAUUGACUCUUGGCUGGCUAGAAUCUUGGGCAGCCCAACUCAGACUGUUUGCAACCAGACUUCUCAGCUUUGGUGUUGUAAAAACUGAAGGCAGCUAAUCCCAGAGAAGCAUUUACAAUUUGCCCAAUGAGCCAAAAGAACUUAAUUUGACUCUCUCUUGUUUGGUUACUUUCUCCUCUCGCCUUAUUAUCAAGUCCUGUACUGCUCAAUUCAGUGACCACUAGCCAUAUGUGGCUACUGAGCACUUGAAAUGUGGCUAGUUUGAACUGAGAUGUGCUCUAAGUACACUGGAUUUUGAAGACUUUGUACAAAAAAAAAGUAAACUAUCCCAUUAAUAAUUUUUGUAUUGAUUACAUAUUAAAAUGGUAAUAUUUCAAAUGUACUGAUUUAAAUAAAAUGUAUUAAAA